AUUGAACGCUGGCGGCAGGCCUAACACAUGCAAGUCGAGCGGAUGCAGGGAGCUUGCUCCUGGAUUCAGCGGCGGACGGGUGAGUAAUGCCUAGGAAUCUGCCUGGUAGUGGGGGAUAACGUCCGGAAACGGGCGCUAAUACCGCAUACGUCCUGAGGGAGAAAGUGGGUGAUCUUCGGACCUCACGCUAUCAGAUGAGCCUAGGUCGGAUUAGCUAGUUGGUGGGGUAAAGGCCUACCAAGGCGACGAUCCGUAACUGGUCUGAGAGGAUGAUCAGUCACACUGGAACUGAGACACGGUCCAGACUCCUACGGGAGGCAGCAGUGGGGAAUAUUAGACAAUGGGCGAAAGCCUGAUCCAGCCAUGCCGCGUGUGUGAAGAAGGUCUUCUGAUUGUAAAGCACUUUAAGUUGGGAGGAAGGGCAGUAAGUUAAUACCUUGCUGUUUUGACGUUACCAACAGAAUAAGCACCGGCUAACUUCGUG
rnacentral:rRNA from 1 species